GACGAACGCUGGCGGCGUGCUUAACACAUGCAAGUCGAACGGUGAAGCCCUUCGGGGUGGCUCAGUGGCGAACGGGUGAGUAACACGUGAGCAACCUGCCCCUGGCUCUGGGACAACCACUGGAAACGGUGGCUAAUACCGGAUACGACCCGCCUCGGCAUCGAGUGUGGGUGGAAAGUUUUUCGGCUGGGGAUGGGCUCGCGGCCUAUCAGCUUGUUGGUGAGGUGAAGGCUCACCAAGGCGACGACGGGUAGCCGGCCUGAGAGGGCGACCGGCCACACGGGGACUGGGACACGGCCCAGACUCCUAGGGGGGGAAGCAGUGGGGAAUUUUGCAAAAGGGGCGAAAGCCUGAUGCAGCGACGCCGCGUGGGGGAUGACGGCCUUCGGGUGGUAAACCUCUUUCAGCUCCGAAGAAGCGAAAGUGACGGUAGGAGAAGAAGAAGCACCGGCUAACUACGU
rnacentral:rRNA from 1 species